rnacentral:rRNA from 1 species
UACGUAGGCAGCGAGCGUUGUUCGGAGUUACUGGGCGUAAAGAGUGCGUAGGCGGUGUUCCAAGUCUGUUGUGAAAUCUCCCGGCUUAACUGGGAGGGUGCGGCGGAAACUGGGACGCUGGAGUACGGGAGAGGUAAGCGGAAUUCCUGGUGUAGCGGUGAAAUGCGCAGAUAUCAGGAAGAACACCCGUGGCUAAGGCGGCUCUCUAGUACGGUACUGACGCUGAGACGCGAAAGCGUGGGGAGCGAACAGG